GAUGAAGAACGUAGCGAAAUGCGAUAAGUAAUGUGAAUUGCAGAAUUCAGUGAAUCAUCGAAUCUUUGAACGCACCUUGCACCCUUUGGCAUUCCGAAGGGUAUGCUCGUUGGAGUGUCAUUGUACUCUCACACUUCCGAUCUUUGGAUUGGGAGCGGUGGACUUGGGUGUUGCUGCUUACUGUGGCUCACCUCAAAUCGAUUCGUGCACCUCUUGGUUGGACAUAGUACGGCGUGAUAAGUGUCUUCGCCGGCACCUCAGUAGAGGGUGGCUGAUCGGGAGCUCUGCUUCAAACCGUCCUCGGACAACAACUGACAACUUGACCUCAAAUCGAGUAGGACUACCCGCUGAACUUAAGCAUAUCAAUAAGCGGAGGA
rnacentral:misc_RNA from 1 species